GUGGCAUGAUUAAGCACACCAAUAUAUGUGUAAUUGGAUUAUCAGAAGGAGAGAAGAUAGAUCUCCUUAGGACAUUGGAUUGGCCUUAUGGUGGCCUCUCUUUCCUUGAGGGGUGCAAAAAUU